AUUGAACGCUGGCGGCAGGCCUAACACAUGCAAGUCGAGCGGAGCGGCGGACGGGUGAGUAAUGCCUAGGAAUCUGCCUGGUAGUGGGGGAUAACGUCCGGAAACGGGCGCUAAUACCGCAUACUAUCAGAUGAGCCUAGGACGGAUUAGCGAGUUGGUGGGGUAAAGGCCUAUCAAGGCGACGAUCCGUAACUGGUCUGAGAGGAUGAUCAGUCACACUGGAAUUGAGAGAUGGUCCAGACUCCGACGGGAGGCAGCAGAGGGGAAAAUGGGAAAAUGGGGCAAAGCCUGAUCCAGCUAUGCCGCGUGUGGGAAGAAGGUGUUCGGAUUGUAAAGCACUUUAAGAUGGGAGGUGUUACCAACAGAGUAAGCACCGGCUAACUUCGGGCCAGGAGACGCGGAAAUAA
rnacentral:rRNA from 1 species